rnacentral:tRNA from 1 species
GGGCGUGUGGUCUAGUGGUAUGAUACCCGCUUUGGGCAGUUUGAAAAUGUUCAAAAUAUGCGGGUGGCCCGGGGUUCAAUUCCCCGCUCGCCCC